UGGGGAAUCUUGGACAAUGGGCGCAAGCCUGAUCCAGCCAUGCCGCGUGGAUGAUGAAGGCCCUAGGGUUGUAAAAUCCUUUCGCCGAGGACGAUAAUGACGGUACUCGGAGAAGAAGCUCCGGCUAACUUCGUGCCAGCAGCCGCGGUAAUACGUAGGGUGCGAGCGUUAAUCGGAAUUACUGGGCGUAAAGCGUGCGCAGGCGGCUUUGCAAGACAGAUGUGAAAUCCCCGGGCUCAACCUGGGAACUGCAUUUGUGACUGCAAGGCUAGAGUACGGUAGAGGGGGAUGGAAUUCCGCGUGUAGCAGUGAAAUGCGUAGAUAUGCGGAGGAACACCGAUGGCGAAGGCAAUCCCCUGGACCUGUACUGACGCUCAUGCACGAAAGCGUGGGGAGCAAACAGGAUUAGAUACCCCGGUAGUCCCUGAGCGGGCUGGCAAGGCGCAU
rnacentral:rRNA from 1 species